rnacentral:rRNA from 1 species
CAAUAGCGUAUAUUAAAGUUGUUGCAGUUAAAAAGCUCGUAGUUGGAUUUCUGGCAGGAGCGACCGGUCACACACUCUGUGUGUGAACUUGCGUUGUCUCUGGCCAUCCUUGGGAAGAUCCUGUUUGGCAUUAAGUUGUCGGGCAGGGGAUACCCAUCGUUUACUGUGAAAAAAUUAGAGUGUUUAAAGCAGGCUUAUGCCGUUGAAUAUAUUAGCAUGGAAUAAUAAGAUAGGACUUCGGAACUAUUUUGUUGGUUUGCGUUACGAAGUAAUGAUUAAUAGGGACAGUUGGGGGUAUUCGUAUUUCGUUGUCAGAGGUGAAAUUCUUGGAUUUCCGAAAGACGAACUACUGCGAAAGCAUUAACCAAGGAUGUUUUCAUUAA